UACGUAGGGGGCUAGCGUUGUCCGGAAUCAUUGGGCGUAAAGAGCGUGUAGGCGGCCCGGUAAGUCCGCUGUGAAAGUCGGGGGCUCAACCCUCGAGUGCCGGUGGAUACUGUCGGGCUAGAGUGCGGAAGAGGCGAGUGGAAUUCCUGGUGUAGCGGUGAAAUGCGCAGAUAUCAGGAGGAACACCGAUUGCGAAGGCAGCUCGCUGGGACGUAACUGACGCUGAGACGCGAAAGCGUGGGGAGCAAACAGG
rnacentral:rRNA from 1 species